ensembl:lncRNA
CAAGAUGGAAAAUGGGAAAUGUCAGAGAUGACAGAGCUGCUCAUUCAGGGAAUUGGGUUAUUCACCCCUAUCUACUCCCACGCUUGUGACCAUCACAAUUAACAGUGACCAGUGACCUGUUCAGGGUGUACCAUGCCCCCAGGAUAGCCUCCAGCCCCCCUGACUCAUCUGGAUAAAAAAAACUGAGAAACUGAAUGUAUCCAUCUUGAGUGACAGAUAAGGAGAGUAUCUGUUCUUGCCCUGAGUGCCCGCACAUCUCUGGCUCCAUGCCAUUACCUACAUGGGCGGCCACAGCGGGAGACAAAGACCUAACUCAGCAUGAGGCACAACUUGUGGACGCAAGUGCAUCCUGGUGACCUGUGUUCCUCAGAAGAAGCCGGCCAUCUGUGUGCUGUAAAAGAACAUCAGACCAGGUCCCUGUCUUCCAUCGCUGCAUGAUCCAGUUUUGAUGCUCACUGUUUGUGCUUUGGCAGUGGACAGGGGUCCGCAUGUGCACCUUGUCAGUCAGGGUCCAACACGGCAACAAAAUGCAAUGAAAUGUGUGUUCUGACACCUUUCUAUCAGAACCAGCAUGACCCUUAACAACAAUGUGAUCACAGUAGCUCAUCAGUUGUAUCAGACCACAAACGUUAGCCUUCACAGCCCAUGUGCAUUGCUAUACAUGUGCUUGUUUGCAUGUGUGUGUGUGCAUGCAUGUGAGAAAGUGUGUUUUUCUUGUCUCCUUUCUUGACGUAAUUCAAGUCAUUACUUUUAGCUAGAUGGCCAAAAGGUGUCAUCACCCUUGAGUUAAAC